UUUCUGAAAGAAAACCAAUAAACGAAGAAAACUAAGGCAUGUACUGAGUGCGGGGUAAAAGAAGAGGAAUGUCUGAAAGGCUUUGGAUGCUGGGAUGUCUCGUGAUUGAUCUUUAAUGGUGAUGCUGCAACAGUGAUCAGUACAAAACAUGGUGGCAUGACCCAAUUUUUGACCUAAGAGCUCUCUCAUUGCAAUCGGGCUGGAAACGCAAACGAGGGGGGAGGAGAUGUCGAGCUUCUCGUUCCCGGAGCGCCCGGCGACGGAGAUCAUCGGCGCUCUCGCCCAGGUGGGCAUCGCCGCCUUGAAGCCGGACGACCUCGCCAAUCCCUCCGCCGACCUCGUGUGCACGCUCUACUCCAACUUCCUCGCCUUCGCCGACCCCCUCGGCGAAGAAUCGGAUAUACAGAUCGCUUUCAGUGCUCUCGAGCUUCUGGAUAACCCCGACCACCAUGUGGACGCCAUCCGGACCUUCAAUCUGUACCGCAAGAUCAAGGGCAUGCUCGCCUCCAUCCGGUUUGGCAGCUUUAAUCUUCGCGAUCUCAUCAAGCCUGAUACCAAGCGCACCCUUCAGAUCCUUAGCACCAUCGUCAACUUCAUAUAUUACAGGGAGGAGAAGCUGAACAUGUUGCAGCCUAUUGUCGAUCAAUUCCCGGCAUAUGAGGAACGAAGGGUGGAUCUCGAAGCAAAGAUCGCCGAGGUUAACAAGCUGAUUUUGGACCAUGAAGUUGCACGACAGAUGGAAGAGCCGGCAGUUCAGCAGUUGGAUGCAGAGGUCAAGGAUCUGCGACAGACUAUUCAGAAUUAUAACAAGCAGCAGAUGUCAUUGAAGACGAUGGCCAAAGCACUCAAGGAGAAGACUGAUGCUAUUAAUGACAAGAUCUCUCAAGCUGAUUUUGAGUUAGUGAAGAAUGCCCAAGAAAACUCCAAGUUGUCAUCUAAAAUUGUUCAGUCCCCUGACAAGCUACAGAGGGCACUUGAAGAGAAAAAGUCGUAUCGAACUGAGGUGAAGAACUCUGAAAGGUCAGCCAUGCAGAACGUUCAAGAGAAAACUUCCACUUUGGAGGUGUACUCAAAGGUACAUGGUAAAUUGACCAAGCACCUAUCUGGAAUGCAGGCUAUACAAGAACAAGUAAAUUCUGCUAAAACUCUUGAGAAGGAUGUCAAAGCUUUGAAAGUUAAGUUGAGUGACGAACAGGUUUCUAUCAUGGCUGUCGAAGCAAAAUUGGUUGAGAAGCAAGGGAAAGCUAAACAAGCUGAGGAGCUGAUCAAGGCUGCGGAAACAGAGAGGGAUGCCAGACAUGCAGAUGAAACUCAGAAGCUUAAUACUGUGAAGGCAGAGAUGGAAUGGAAGCUGCAAUGCCUGGAGCCCAGGGAAAGGAAAGCUGAAGCUAUGGUUACAAAGGGUGCUAGCUUGCGCUCAGAAUCUGACUUGCUAAGAGAAACUGGAAAGGCAAGACGACAACAACUUCAUGCCAAGUUUGAAGAAAUUUUACAGGAGUUUCACAACUAUUCUAAGAUGAAUUCCAUCCUACAAAGGUUUGAGUUGGCAGUGGAGAAGGAAGACUUGGGGCCUGCAAGCACUGAAUAAAUACCACCAAAGACCAACUAUGGUUACUUCAUCAAAGGGAAUCGUCAGCAUGGUGAUCAAAGAUUCAAUCUUUGAUCACUGGGUUUUUAGGCGCAAACACCGCCCUAUUUAAGAUGUCAUCACUUCAGUAAAGCAUCACGCAGCGACGGCAAUCCGCGAACUGUUCCUGUAGUACAAGUGGGACGAAGCCGGUGCCCGCAUCGUCAAACAAGUCUGCUGCCUAUCGAGUCAAUUCCUUCUGCCUGUCUUCGCCUGUCAGUCAACCUUCCGCUCCUUCAUAGGGUAAUCCGUCCCCCGGGGUUCCAAGUGUGGUUGAAAGGAGGUUGCUUCUGCCCCUUUGAGGAACUCUUGGCCUCCUGCUGCAAUCGCAAGGCGUGGAGAUGGCGGUGAG